GGCAGGGCCUGUGUCGGAGGGUGGUCCAGCACAGUGGUGGCCUCGGGGCCCAGGCUGGAGGGGGCCUGGCACAGUUGAGGCCUCGUGUGGGCCCAGAAGGAAGGGGGCCCAGGCACAGGUAGAGCCUCGGGGCCCAGGAUGGAGGAGGACCAGGUGCAGUUGGGGCUGCACUGGGGGGGCCGGAGCUGGAGGGGGGCCUAGCAGAGUUGAGGCCUCCUCUGGGCCCAGACAAAAAGGGCCCAGGCGCAACCAGGUCCUUGGGGCCUGGGAUGAAGCAGGCCCAGGCCCAGUUGGGGCUGCUUUGGGGCCCAGGAUGGAGGAGGACCGGGCACAGUGGGGGCUGCUUUGGGGCCCAGGAUGGAGGAGGACCAGGCACAGUUGGGGCUGCUUUGGGGCCCGGGCUGGUGGGAGGCCCGGCACAGCCAGAGCCUUGUGGCUGCACUCCCUCUGUACAGUUCAACCUUGAUCCCUAACCUAAAAUGGUAACUGUAGUGAAAGGCAGUA
rnacentral:lncRNA from 1 species